GCACCUAUAGCUCAAUUGGAUAGAGCAUCGGUCUUCGGAACCGAAGGUUGUAGGUUCGAAUCCUACUGGGUGCA
rnacentral:tRNA from 1 species